UGGGGAAUCUUGGACAAUGGGGGCAACCCUGAUCCAGCCAUGCCGCGUGAGUGAUGAAGGCCUUAGGGUCGUAAAGCUCUUUCGCCUGUGAAGAUAAUGACGGUAGCAGGUAAAGAAACCCCGGCUAACUCCGUGCCAGCAGCCGCGGUAAUACGGAGGGGGUUAGCGUUGUUCGGAAUUACUGGGCGUAAAGCGCACGUAGGCGGACCAGAAAGUUGGGGGUGAAAUCCCGGGGGCUCAACCCCGGAACUGCCUCCAAAACUAUUGGUCUAGAGUUCGAGAGAGGUGAGUGGAAUUCCAAGUGUAGAGGUGAAAUUCGUAGAUAUUUGGAGGAACACCAGUGGCGAAGGCGGCUCACUGGCUCGAUACUGACGCUGAGGUGCGAAAGUGUGGGGAGCAAACAGGAUUAGAUACCCCUGGUAGUCCACACCGUAAAACGAUGAAUGCCAGUCGUCGGGUAGCAUGCUAUUCGGUGACACACCUAACGGAUUAAGCAUUCCGGCCUGGGGAGUACGGUCGCAAGAUUAAAA
rnacentral:rRNA from 1 species